CCUACGGGAGGCAGCAGUGGGGAAUAUUGCACAAUGAGCGAAAGCCUGACGCAGCGACGCCGCGUGAGGGAUGAAGGUCUUCGGAUUGUAAACCUCUGUCAGCAGGGAAGAACGGUCACUGUAGUAAUCAGCAGUGAAUUGACGGUACCUGCAAAGGAAGCAACGGCUAACUCCGUGCCAGCAGCCGCGGUAAUACGGAGGGUGCGAGCGUUAAUCGGAAUUACUGGGCGUAAAGCGGUCGUAGGCGGUAUGUUAAGUCAGGGGUGAAAUCCCCGGGCUCAACGUGGGAACUGCCUUUGAAACUGGCAAACUGGAGUGAGUGAGAGGAAAGUGGAAUUCCAUGUGUAGGGGUGAAAUGCGUAGAUAUAUGGAAGAACACCAGUGGCGAAGGCGGCUUUCUGGGUCUUAACUGACGCUGAGGAGCGAAAGCGUGGGUAGCAAACAGGAUUAGAUACCCCUGUAGUC
rnacentral:rRNA from 1 species